rnacentral:sRNA from 1 species
AAAAAAAAAAAAAAAGAGUUGGGAUGCAGGUCAGUAGCGUUGAGGACAAAGUUUUCCCUCCCUUCUUUUCCCCUCCCUCCCUUCCUCCUUCUGUUUCUUCUCUCCCUCCCUGGCUUUCAGCAUUGUUAAUCAUUCCCCAGCUGCUAGCAUCUGCAGGCUGAGCCGGCAGAGAAGUGUGAGCCUUAUCCUGUGCCGGAGCCAGGGGCCCCAACUCCAAGAAAAAGAGAGUGUAACCCGGCAGCCCUUCUGGAAUGUCCUGCCAAGUCUCAGAGGGUGAGUUAAGCACCACCCUUGGCCUAGAGGUCAGAUCAAAGUUGGGAGUCACCAAAUCUCAAGGAUCCAACAGGAAAGUGAGUGAAUGGGGGUUUCACAGGGACAUUCUAGACUCUAGACUGAGGGGGGGGGGGAAGGCAGUUGUAUACUCCCCUUCUCCCCACCCAGUUCUGAGGUACUUCUCUUCAGCCUAAAUGGAAGGGAAACAUGGGUUCUGCCCAGAAGCCAGGGAGAGCAAACCGGAGUGGAGGAACAAACAUAUACAGUUCCCCUGCCCUUGGGAGCAGGCUCCCACCAGCCCCAGGGGAGAGGCUGCAAGCUGAAGUAAACAAGUUCCAGAGAAGGGAGCAAAACUCCAGGCAGUAUUCCAGGAACUCUGUCAGAUGUGAGGGGUGCCUGGAGGCCUUGUCCUGGCUGCCCAGAUGCUGGGUGGGGGCUUUCCAAAAGCCCUGGAAAUUCUGAGCGUCUACGGAGGCCCCAGGUGCAGGGCUGAGCCUGCGCAGAAAACUCUUCCACGUUAGAGCCAAUGAGGAUGCGCAGUGCAACCCUGGCCAAGGUCCGGACUCCCCAGCUGGGGAUGUCUGGGAAAGUAGACUGCCCAGAGAGCAGAACACGGGGUCCACGGGUGUGCUUUUGACAGCCAGAAGUGGGGGUGGAGUGCGGUGUUUUCCAUGGCAAAAGAUGGAUGCUAGUCCAGGUCCUUGGGCACUGCCAAGUUCCCUGCAACCUCAACAGUACUCCUUGAGGUCCUAUUGGGUGGGUCAAUCCACAGUCAUUGAAUUAGCUUACGCAAUCAGCCCCAGGUAAUGGAAGGCAGCAUGGUUCUGGGCAAUAAAGCCCAGUAGUGUGAGCCGAGGGUCACUUGCUUUGUUUCUGCCUUGUUGCAAAAGUCCUCCAAAGUGCAGAUAAAUCAGAUGCUGAAAUCUGUGAUGGCAGACACAGAUCCCCACCCACCCAGUUCAGACCUUUGACUACGAUAUACGACUAUAGCCGGCAACCGUCACAUGCUGCGGAAGCUGCUGCCUAAUCCCAGCACCCCAACCCCAAAGCCUCCACUCAGCACAGGACCCUCGGUACACAUGAGCAUCUUGUUUCUCUAACGCCAGCAGGGAUGGAGGUAACAAGACUGUCCUCCCAGCCCAGUUCUAAUUUCAGCAACCCUUCAGGCUGACAGUGGCGUCUGGAGAAUUCAGGACCUGCCUGGGCUACAGGAUGAGACCCUAUCCCAAACCGGAAACCAACAAAUAAAAACAAAAUCUCCACCUUAGGAGAUGAGAGGUGAGUGGUGGAACAGGAUGCCAACGGGACAGCUUCAUCUCACAGACCUAGCCCUUCUUGUCCCACUACAGUGGCCUCUAGUCAGGACAGGAAGAAGCCUCCCUAGAGCAAGGUGUCGAAGGAAGCAGGCAACUAGAUGCCCUGAUCUAGAGGAAACUGGUUUGAAUCCCUCCUACAACGCCUCUCACCUCAGUGUUCUAGGUGUGUCUAAGAAGGCCCUGCUUGUCCAGCUCCUAUGAGGAAGGGCACUGGGUGAGGCCAGUGGUGAGGCCUGAUGCCAGGUGGUUCACAACUAGGUUCAGGUCCCCUUUAGGGCAAAGGCUGGCCUGAACCAGGGACCUCUCUCAGUCCCACAAAGCAAGGAUGUGAGUUAGCCUGUGAGCAGGAGGGAAUCCAGCUGUGUGGGAACAAGCCUUUCCCACACCAGCAUGAGCGGGUGGGGGUAUUUAGCCUCUGGGAACAAACAGAAGGAUCCAGAAGGGAGGGACCCUAGAUACAGACACCCCAAAGAUGGAACUUGAAGUAAUCUUUCUUGGAAGCAUGGUGGCUGGGGUCACUCUGAGUAGCAUAUUUCUGGCUGUCCUAAGACUCACUUUGUAGCCGAGUUUUUGGCCUUAGAACCUACAGAGAUCCUUCAGCCUCAGCUGGAAGGCUGGGUUUAAAGCCACAACACUUGCUCCAUAACUGUUUCCAAAAGAAAGUAAUCUAUAGGUGUGGUGAGGGUGGUGCCGAGACCAGUCCGGACCCAACCAGUCCGGACCCACAGGGCUGAGCCCUACCACCCUGCUCCGAAGGACAGUUCUGGACUUUUGUGUAUCUGGGUGUCCUUGGCCUCCAGCUGCCUCCUGCAGGCUGUUGGGAGAAUGACCAGGAUCGCCUCUCUACCUUGUACAGAUACCUACUUAAUGCUGGGCUCUUUUCUUUGCAAAGACACUUUCCUCAAGGUGGUCCGCAGCCUGGAAGCUGCCCCGUGAGCCUCCCUAAGGAGAAACAGCAUUGGGGGUAAAAAAA